UGGUGAUCGAUGAAUAAACAUACCGUGCAGUCAUGCGUAACAACAGAAAUACAGUUUGUCGACGUGGUGGUUUGGAAGAGAACAGCCAUGGAUUCCUACUUAAAUUUGUUAUCAAAUGUCACAAUCUUGUGUACAGUAUCUAUGUUUGCCGCAGGAAUUCCUUCAUGUUUAUCCAUUUAUCGGACUGGAAGCACACAGAAUGUUCCUUACCUCCCCUUUUUGAUGACCUUAAUAAAUAACCUUCUGUGGUUCUAUUAUGGGAUAUUAAAAGUAGACUCCACUCUCUUGGUGGUGAAUGGCAUUGGUGGUUUUCUACAGGUUACCUAUAUGGUGGUGUAUUUGUAUUUUGCAGUUAGCAGAGUAA